rfam:Exophiala sideris strain CBS 121828 unplaced genomic scaffold supercont1.3, whole genome shotgun sequence.
GGUGGCGUGGCCUAAUGGUAAGGCGUUGCUUUCCGGAUACGGACUCUGGCAAAGACUGUGGGUUCGAGUCCCAUCGCCAUCG